rnacentral:rRNA from 1 species
GUCUGCAGCCAUGCCAUCCUGAACAAGCCCAAUGUCUGAUCUCAGAAGCUAAGCAGGGUCAGGCCUGGUUAGUACUUGGAUAGGAGACCACCUACAGAGACCAGGUGCUGUAGGCA